rnacentral:rRNA from 1 species
GCGACAGGCUUAACACAUGCAAGUCGAGGGGCAGCACAGGUAGCAAUACCGGGUGGCGACCGGCGCACGGGUGAGUAACGCGUAUGCAACUUACCUAUCAGAGGGGGAUAACCCGGCGAAAGUCGGACUAAUACCGCAUGAAGCAGGGGCCCCGCAUGGGGAUAUUUGCUAAAGAUUCAUCGCUGAUAGAUAGGCAUGCGUUCCAUUAGGCAGUUGGCGGGGUAACGGCCCACCAAGCCGACGAUGGAUAGGGGUUCUGAGAGGAAGGUCCCCCACAUUGGUACUGAGACACGGACCAAACUCCUACGGGAGGCAGCAGUGAGGAAUAUUGGUCAAUGGCCGAGAGGCUGAACCAGCCAAGUCGCGUGAGGGAUGAAGGUUCUAUGGAUCGUAAACCUCUUUUAUAAGGGAAUAAAGUGCGGGACGUGUCCCGUUUUGUAUGUACCUUAUGAAUAAGGAUCGGCUAACUCCGUGCCAGCAGCCGCGGUAAUACGGAGGAUCCGAGCGUUAUCCGGAUUUAUUGGGUUUAAAGGGUGCGUAGGCGGCCUUUUAAGUCAGCGGUGAAAGUCUGUGGCUCAACCAUAGAAUUGCCGUUGAAACUGGGGGGCUUGAGUAUGUUUGAGGCAGGCGGAAUGCGUGGUGUAGCGGUGAAAUGCAUAGAUAUCACGCAGAACCCCGAUUGCGAAGGCAGCCUGCCAAGCCAUGACUGACGCUGAUGCACGAAAGCGUGGGGAUCAAACAGGAUUGGAUACCCUGGUAGUCCACGCAGUAAACGAUGAUCACUAGCUGUUUGCGAUACACUGUAAGCGGCACAGCGAAAGCGUUAAGUGAUCCACCUGGGGAGUACGCCGGCAACGGUGAAACUCAAAGGAAUUGACGGGGGCCCGCACAAGCGGAGGAACAUGUGGUUUAAUUCGAUGAUACGCGAGGAACCUUACCCGGGUUUGAACGCAUUCGGACCGAGGUGGAAACACCUUUUCUAGCAAUAGCCGUUUGCGAGGUGCUGCAUGGUUGUCGUCAGCUCGUGCCGUGAGGUGUCGGCUUAAGUGCCAUAACGAGCGCAACCCUUGCCACUAGUUACUAACAGGUAAAGCUGAGGACUCUGGUGGGACUGCCAGCGUAAGCUGCGAGGAAGGCGGGGAUGACGUCAAAUCAGCACGGCCCUUACAUCCGGGGCGACACACGUGUUACAAUGGCGUGGACAAAGGGAAGCCACCUGGCGACAGGGAGCGAAUCCCCAAACCACGUCUCAGUUCGGAUCGGAGUCUGCAACCCGACUCCGUGAAGCUGGAUUCGCUAGUAAUCGCGCAUCAGCCAUGGCGCGGUGAAUACGUUCCCGGGCCUUGUACACACCGCCCGUCAAGCCAUGGGAGCCGGGGGUACCUGAAGUCCGUAACCGCGAGGAUCGGCCUAGGGUAAAACUGGUGACUGGGGCUAAGUA